GUGAGGAAUAUUGGUCAAUGGGCGGAAGCCUGAACCAGCCAUCCCGCGUGGAGGAAGACGGCCCUAUGGGUUGUAAACUUCUUUUCAAGGGGAAGAAAGUUCGCGACGUGUCGCGAUUUGCCGGUACCUUUGGAAUAAGCAUCGGCUAACUCCGUGCCAGCAGCCGCGGUAAUACGGAGGAUGCGAGCGUUAUCCGGAUUUAUUGGGUUUAAAGGGUGCGUAGGCCGAUCGAUAAGUCAGCGGUGAAAUACGAUGGCCUAACCAUGGAACUGCCGUUGAUACUGUCGGUGUGGAAUAUGGUCAAAGUAGGCGGAAUGUGUAAUGUAGCGGUGAAAUGCGUAGAUAUUACACAGAACACCGAUUGCGAAGGCAGCUUACUGGUCCAUUAUUGACGCUGAGGCACGAAAGCGUGGGGAGCGAACAGGAUUAGAAACCCCGGUAGUCC
rnacentral:rRNA from 1 species